ensembl:snoRNA
GUUGAGGUCUAUCUCAAUGGAGCUUUUCCUAUAGCUGCAUGUCUUUGUAAACUCCUCAUAAAGUAACUGUGGUUUUGCUUUACUCACAGGACUAUUUGUUAGAUUUGUGGGAAAGAACUAUAAGACAGUU